ACGAACGCUGGCGGCGUGGAUAAGACAUGCAAGUCGAACGAGAGAAUUGCUAGCUUGCUAAUAAUUCUCUAGUGGCGCACGGGUGAGUAACACGUGAGUAACCUGCCCCCGAGAGCGGGAUAGCCCUGGGAAACUGGGAUUAAUACCGCAUAGUAUCGAAAGAUUAAAGCAGCAAUGCGCUUGGGGAUGGGCUCGCGGCCUAUUAGUUAGUUGGUGAGGUAACGGCUCACCAAGGCGAUGACGGGUAGCCGGUCUGAGAGGAUGUCCGGCCACACUGGAACUGAGACACGGUCCAGACACCUACGGGUGGCAGCAGUCGAGAAUCAUUCACAAUGGGGGAAACCCUGAUGGUGUGACGCCGCGUGGGGGAAUGAAGGUCUUCGGAUUGUAAACCCCUGUCAUGUGGGAGCAAAUUAAAAAGAUAGUACCACAAGAGGAAGAGACGGCUAACUCUGUGCCUGCAGCCGCGGUAAUACAGAGGUCUCAAGCGUUGUUCGGAAUCACUGGGCGUAAAGCGUGCGUAGGCUGUUUCGUAAGUCGUGUGUGAAAGGCGCGGGCUCAACCCGCGGACGGCACAUGAUACUGCGAGACUAGAGUAAUGGAGGGGGAACCGGAAUUCUCGGUGUAGCAGUGAAAUGCGUAGAUAUCGAGAGGAACACUCGUGGCGAAGGCGGGUUCCUGGACAUUAACUGACGCUGAGGCACGAAGGCCAGGGGAGCGAAAGGGAUUAGAUACCCCUGUAGUCCUGGCAGUAAACGGUGCACGCUUGGUGUGCGGGGAAUCGACCCCCUGCGUGCCGGAGCUAACGCGUUAAGCGUGCCGCCUGGGGAGUACGGUCGCAAGAUUAAAACUCAAAGAAAUUGACGGGGACCCGCACAAGCGGUGGAGUAUGUGGCUUAAUUCGAUGCAACGCGAAGAACCUUACCUGGGCUUGACAUGUAAUGAACAACAUGUGAAAGCAUGCGACUCUUCGGAGGCGUUACACAGGUGCUGCAUGGCCGUCGUCAGCUCGUGUCGUGAGAUGUUUGGUUAAGUCCAGCAACGAGCGCAACCCCUGUUGCCAGUUACCAGCACGUGAAGGUGGGGACUCUGGCGAGACUGCCCAGAUCAACUGGGAGGAAGGUGGGGACGACGUCAGGUCAGUAUGGCCCUUAUGCCCAGGGCUGCACACGUACUACAAUGCCCAGUACAGAGGGGGCCGAAGCCGCGAGGCGGAGGAAAUCCUGAAAACUGGGCCCAGUUCGGACUGUAGGCUGCAACCCGCCUACACGAAGCCGGAAUCGCUAGUAAUGGCGCAUCAGCUACGGCGCCGUGAAUACGUUCCCGGGUCUUGUACACACCGCCCGUCACAUCAUGGAAGCCGGUCGCACCCGAAGUAUCUGAAGCCAACCGCAAGGAGGCAGGGUCCUAAGGUGAGACUGGUAACUGGGAUG
rnacentral:rRNA from 1 species